UACGGAGGGUGCAAGCGUUGUCCGGAUUUAUUGGGUUUAAAGGGUGCGUAGGUGGCCUUAUAAGUCAGCGGUGAAAGUCUGCAGCUUAACUGUAGAACUGCCAUUGAUACUGUAAGGCUUGAGUACUGAUGAGGUAGGCGGAAUUGAUAGUGUAGCGGUGAAAUGCAUAGAUAUUAUCAAGAACACCGAUUGCGAAGGCAGCUUACUAAGGAGUUACUGACACUGAGGCACGAAAGCGUGGGGAGCAAACAGG
rnacentral:rRNA from 1 species